rnacentral:rRNA from 1 species
CUACGGGAGGCAGCAGUAAGGAAUAUUGCGCAAUGGAGGCAACUCUGACGCAGCCAUGCCGCGUGCAGGAAGAAGGCCUUAUGGGUCGUAAACUGCUUUUAUUUAGGAAUAAACCCCCGAACGUGUUCGGGGCUGAAGGUACUAAACGAAUAAGCACCGGCUAACUCCGUGCCAGCAGCCGCGGUAAUACGGAGGGUGCAAGCGUUAUCCGGAUUUAUUGGGUUUAAAGGGUGCGCAGGCGGGCUAUUAAGUCAGUGGUGAAGUCCCGGGGCUCAACUCCGGAACUGCCAUUGAUACUGAUAGUCUUGAGUUUGGUUGAAGUGGGCGGAAUGUAGCAUGUAGCGGUGAAAUGCAUAGAUAUGCUACAGAACACCAAUCGCGAAGGCAGCUCACUAAGCCAAAACUGACGCUCAUGCACGAAAGCGUGGGGAUCAAACAGGAUUAGAUACCCUUGUAGUC